GAGUGGCAUCAGGAUGUCUGAGAGGAGAGCAUGGUGUUUUUGCUUCAUUGGAUCCAUGCAGGUCUUGGAGGGUGGUGGCCCACUCUUUCUGGGCCAAGUAGAGGGUGGCUCAGACACCCCCCCUUCCUCCAGGCUUCUCAUCUGUAACUGGUGAAGCCCGGAAGAGCUUGUUGUUCAAGAGGAAAUCUUGUGUUACUUCUUUAUGAAGGACUCCAGCCUGGUGGAGAUGAAUGAGUCCUGAAGAUGGAAUCGAAGCUGUUUGGGCACAAACAAGGUUUCACUCUUGUUGCCCAGGCUGGAGUGCAAUGGUGUGAUCUAGGCUCACUGCAACCUCCACCUCCCGGGUUCAAGUGAUUCUCCUGUCUCAGGCUCCCAAGUAGGUGGGAUUACAGUACUUUAAUCAGCAUUUAAUGACCCAGUCGAAAAUUCAUUGUUUGGACCCAAGCACUGGUGGGAAAGGCAGGAGGGGAGGCCUGCCUUCCUUCCUCCCUCCCGAGCCCUACAGCAGGCCAUGGAGUGGUGAGCGAGUUCGUACAGUGCCAACCACAUUCCCAGAAACUUCCAGCAGAGGUUAAUCCUGCUCCUCUCAGGUGGGCUUGGCCCAUUCUCUAGACUUUGGAAGGUAAUGUUCUAUAGAGGCCUGUUCUGAAGCUUUACCAGGUCAAACCGGAGAAGAACCCAACAAGUAACUCAUCCCAGCCUAACUAUUCUUCAAGGGCAAUCAACCUACAGCAUCCAAGCACAGAGAAAUCAAAUCCAUGGAGAAUCUUCAAAUUAGGCUCAGAAUCCAUUUGGGUCAAUGAAUUUACUGUUAUUAAGAUCUUAGUUGUGUUCAACCAUGAUUUGACAUACCUUAGAGUGAGAAGAUAUUCUUCCUGGCCUCAGACUAGUUGAAGGUAGAGAGAGAGACAGGCCCUUGGGUGUGGGGAGACCUCUCCUGGGAUAAUACACACAAAAAACCAAGAGCUGCUCACUGUGGUGCAGGAGACAGCAGGGCCUGAAGCCAGAGGCUCUGUGUCCUUGAAUACAAUGUUUUACUCCUCUGACCCCUGUUACUGUGAUUUGGAGAGGCAGACAAUAUAGGAUGGGCUUUGCAGGCAGGGAGGUCCAGUUAUAAUCCCAGCUCUUACUAAGUUGGGUAAGACUCACUCUGAGACUUAGUUUCUUCUGUCAUCUCUCAAUAGAAUCAUAAAGGUACUUUCCUCUUAGUGUUGUUUUAAAAUUCAGUAAAAUAAUGCAGGCUUAGCACAGGGUCUGAUGUAAAUUUUCAAUGAAUUAUCGUUGUCAAUAUUGUUCUGGAAAACAAGAGGGCAUAUUAGAAGAUCAAAAGUACUGCCAAGCAUUGAAGUGCCAAUUCUAGAUCCAGUCUCAGCCCUCUGAGAAUGGAUAUCAUUGUUUUCAAGCCAUUCAGAAACCAAUGUGAAUUGAACACCUAGUAUGAGCUCUCUGAGGGAAGAGCCAAGUCAUGCAUUUUUUAUCUUAAGGGGUCUUCAAUACCUCUAGCCCAAAACAGUAUCUCCAUCAGGAUUCUUCUCUGAUAGUGUUCAUUUCUUUUUUCUCAAUGGAUGCCUUAAAAAAAAAAUCCUACAAGGAAACCUGUACUCCUCAAAUACACCACUCAGGUGACCAUUAAAUCAUUUACAUUGUU
rnacentral:lncRNA from 1 species